AUUUAACUGUUCACAUAAAACGGUCAUAUAAAAUUAUUUCCUUCAAUUCCCCCUUUUCAAGUCCUUAAAGACUUGAAUAUCUAAACUUGCUAACAUAAAUUAUGAAUCAGCUUAUUAACAACAGAGGACUUUUAGGGUGUGGAAGGAGGUUACAGAU